UUGGCUUUCCUUCCAUUGAAUUACAAAGGCAACUGAUAAAAUAUUGGUUAUAUACGUUAGGUGGUUGGAAAUUCGCCAAUUUAUAACAAAUGAAAAAGUUACAGACUUCUGCCAAUUAAAACUUGUGCACAUCUUUCUGAAUCAGUUUUUGCCAUAUUAGGUUACCAGAGUUUCUAUCUUGCGGGUAAUAUCAAAGAACUAAUUCUAAAGAGUCGAGCAAUAGUUAUUGGAGAACCCCUUUGUAGAACGAUGCUCAUCUGUGGCAGUUUUAUAUGCGGUGGUGGAUGGUGGAGCACCUGAUUUUGGGUAGUGGCCCGUGGUUGUUGGGCAAAAACACGAUCCAGUUCAAGAAAAUUGCACUGGUACAAGUAAAAUGUUAAAAAUCAAUGGCCAGGAAUUAGUAAAACUUCAAAAGUCCAACCUCAACGGUUUCCAUAGAAACAAAUG
rnacentral:lncRNA from 1 species